UCAGACGAUGCGUCAUGCAUAUCAAUAAGCGGAGGAAAAGAAACUAACAAGGAUUCCCCUAGUAACGGCGAGUGAGGCGGGAAGAGCUCAAAUUUGAAAUCUUAAAGGGUUUCCCUUUACGAAUUGUAGUUUAAAGAAGUGUUUUCUGUUGAGGUUUUGGUAAAAGUUCUUUGGAAUAGGACAUCAUAGAGGGUGAGAAUCCCGUAUUUGACCUUUACUUUCAACUUUGUGAUACACUUUCAAAGAGUCGGAUUGUUUGGGAAUGCAGUCCAAAAUGGGUGGUAAAUUUCAUCUAAAGCUAAAUAUUGGCGAGAGACCGAUAGCGAACAAGUACCGUGAGGGAAAGAUGAAAAGAACUUUGAAAAGAGAGUUAAACAGUACGUGAAAUUGUCAAAAGGGAAGCGUUUGACACCAGUGUUGUUUUUCUGAAAAUCAAUUAAAGAACUGUUUAUGCUAAGUUGUUUAGACUUUAUCAGCUAACUGUUUAGUUUUGAGCUUUUCUUUAAUGCACUUUUCAGUUAACAAGUCAACAUCAAUUUCUUUUGCUGUAAAAAAGCUUGAGGAAGGUGGCUUGAGAUUCGUCUUAAGUGUUUAUAGCCUCUUGCCUAUGCAGUCGGAGAGAUUGAGGUCUGCAGCGUAGAUCCUUCGGGGCUAAAUGCAUUUGUGCUAAGUUAUAGCAUUUUAUAGACAACUUGUUGACUAUGAUUUGUCUUGUAGCUUACUCGCUUAUGUUAUUUUACCUACGCUUAGGAUGUUGAGCGCAUGUCUCUCUCU
rnacentral:rRNA from 1 species